rnacentral:lncRNA from 1 species
GGACCGUGCAUGAGCUCCCGUCUCAGAGGGUUAAGAACACUUCCUGCCAUGCACCUGGCUCGUCGUAGCAUGCCUCCCGUGUGGCUUGUAGUGCUCCAUGCACGCCUUCACCUUGUGCCCAGGGCUCCAGGCCUUUCCCAUCUAUAUGGUGACAGGCAAGCCCUGGGCAGACGGCUAAAAGGAACCAAAAGGGGUGCUGCGGGAUAAGGAAGGGCACAACCCCCCGGAAUCCUUCACUCGUGGCACUGGAUACUCUGACCUUGCGGGAUGGACGUUUGCUGAACAAGACUUGCUUUGCUUUGCCUUCAGGAACUCAAUGGCUGGGCGAGAAUUACACCUGAUAAGUUAUGAGCUGUCAAUCAGGAAGCAUCUCAUUGCACAAGCAGUGUAUGAUGUCCUUGGGAGAAUGGGAUCGACGAACUGACGAGACAGGUAAUGGUACUGCUCCCUUCCAGCCCUUUACAGGGACAGCUCUGUGCUCUGGCCGCCUGCCCCACACCUGGCUCUCAGGCUCAGCCUCCCCUGUGUCUUGGAGCUACUUUGCUCCCCACACUGAGAGCUGCUGCUGCUGCUGGCUGCACGGUAAAAGCUGGGAUCAGGGUGCUCUGUGCAGAGCCAUGAGUUCCCCCUGGCUGGGCCCCAGCCAGAGGCCUGCCUGGGCUUGGCUUGGAGGCGAUGAGGCCCCUGCCAAGGAAACUUGCUUCAGACUUCUUACUGGAAGGUCCAUUCUCCAGGCCGCUGCAAACUGGAGCUCUGCAGAGCCUGGCUGCUCAGGGCGACGAUCUUGACUGCCUGUCCAGGCUGUUCUACAGCAGACACGUUGGCUGGCAAACACUGGGAUCAGGCAGAGCCCAAAGUCCAUCUUUGCUGUGUCUCUGGAGUGCAGUUCUUGGUAACUUCCCUGCUCCACACCCCAUCUCCUUGUCUUUGUGCUCACUGCUGUCUCUCCAUUCCCUGUUUUUGCCCAGAAAUUUUCUGUUGACACGGAUGAAAUUGACAGCCAUGCCGUGGGGAAGAUUAACAG